GGACCCGCACAAGUAGUGGAGCAUGUGGUUUAAUUCGAAGAUACGCGCAGAACCUUACCAACACUUGACAUGUUCGUCGCGACUUUAAGAGAUUAAAGUUUUUCGGUUCGGCCGGACGAAACACAGGUGCUGCAUGGCUGUCGUCAGCUCGUGUCGUGAGAUGUUGGUUAAGUCCCGCAACGAGCGCAACCCUCACUUUUUAGUUGCCAUCAUUUUAGUUGGGCACUCUGAAAGAACUGCCAGUGAUAAGCUGGAGGAAGGUGGGGAUGACGUCAAGUCCUCAUGGCCCUUACGUGUUGGGCUACACACGUGCUACAAUGGCGAGACAAUGAGAUGCAAAUCUGCAAAGACUAGCU
rnacentral:rRNA from 1 species